rnacentral:rRNA from 1 species
UGGGGAAUAUUGCGCAAUGGGCGAAAGCCUGACGCAGCAACGCCGCGUGAGUGAUGAAGGCCUUCGGGUCGUAAAGCUCUUUUUACCCGGGAUGAUAAUGACAGUACCGGGAGAAUAAGCUCCGGCUAACUCCGUGCCAGCAGCCGCGGUAAUACGUAGGGACCAAGCGUUGUUCGGAUUUACUGGGCGUAAAGGGCGCGUAGGCGGCAUGACAAGUCACUUGUGAAAUCUCUGGGCUUAACCCAGAACGGCCAAGUGAUACUGUCGCGCUAGAGUGCAGAAGGGGCAAUCGGAAUUCUUGGUGUAGCGGUGAAAUGCGUAGAUAUCAAGAGGAACACCUGAGGUGAAGACGGGUUGCUGGGCUGACACUGACGCUGAGGCGCGAAAGCCAGGGGAGCAAACGGGAUUAGAUACCCAUGUAGUCCCUGAGCGGGCUGGCAAGGCGCAU